UACGUAGGGGCGAGCGUUGUCCGGAAUGAUUGGGCGUAAAGGGCGCGUAGGCGGCCUAUCAAGUCACUAGUGGAAGUCCAGCUUUCAAGGUUGGAAGUGCUAUUGAAACUGAGGGGCUUGAGUGCAGGAGAGGUUAUCGGAAUUCCCGGUGUAGCGGUGAAAUGCGUAGAGAUCGGGAGGAACACCAGUGGCGAAGGCGGGUAACUGGACUGCAACUGACGCUGAUGCGCGAAAGUGUGGGGAGCAAACAGGAUUAGAUACCCCUGUAGU
rnacentral:rRNA from 1 species